GACAGAGGUUGCAAGCGUUGUUCGGAAUCACUGGGCGUAAAGGGCGUGUAGGCGGCGGAGUAUGUCUGACGUGAAAUCCCUCGGCUUAACUGGGGAAUUGCAUCGGAAACUGCUCUGCUUGAGUGUGAGAGAGGAUAGCGGAAUUCCCAGAGUAGAGGUGAAAUUCGUAGAUACUGGGAGGAACACCUGAGGCGAAGGCGGCUAUCUGGUUCACAACUGACGCUGAGACGCGAAAGCAUGGGGAGCAAACAGG
rnacentral:rRNA from 1 species